ACCCAAAGAAAUUCUCCUUAGCCCCGGCUCAAAAGAAAAAUGCCUGACCUUGACAUAUGUGUGGUAGUUUUCUAGGGCUGUCAUAAGAAAGGACCACAAGAUUGUGUGGCUUAAAUGACAGAAGUUUAUUGUUUCACAGUUCUGGAGGCUGAAAGUCCGAAAU